UGCUGGUGUCAAGUUUAUUCUUAUUUUUAGCAUUUGACUGCUUAUCCUUGUUUUUUUCCUUCUCGAAUUCAGCAACACUUCUAAAGCAAACAUUGCAUGUGUGGUUAAACAUCUUUCAUUUUGCAGUUCAGAUACUUUGACUGGGACCACCAACUUCUCUCAUAAAAACAUCAGUUCACUGAACCUCCUGGCCAUCGUUUCUUGUUACAUUUGUUGUUUUCUCUCAUUGCCUUUCUUCCUUAGUCCAUGUUUUUGUAUAUAUAUUGUAUCACCCCUACUUAGGAUAAGGAGUCCCACAUCGGCAAAAUACAGGAGGGAUGUUGGGUAUAUAAGUAAGCAAGUCUUACUCCCUAGUGAAGCGUUUUAAAGCCAUGCGGGCUUGGGCCUAGAGCGGACAAUAUCACUAGUCGGCUGGGCUAAGGGGGUCUCUCGGGCCUUCGUGGUUCGGGAUGCCCGUCGCGGCCAGGGCCUCGACUCGGAUCGUGACAAGAAUGGUAUCAGAGCCACUCCUGUGCCAGCCCUGUCGAUGUGACCCAGAGUUCAAACUAAGUUUAGGCAAAUCCCAUUCGGUGGGGCAAACCUCAGCAAGGACGCUAUCAGAGCUGCUCCUGUGUCAGCCUUGUCGAUGUGGGCCAAAGUUCAAACUGAGUUUAGGCAAAUCCCAUUCGGCGGGGCAAACCUCAGCAAGGACGCUGAGUCCAUUAGGGGAUGUAUUUAACACCCCAACUUAGAAUAAGGAGUCCCACAUCGGCAAAACACUGGAGGGAUGCAGGGUAUAUAAGUAAGCAAGCGUUACUCCCUAGUGAUGUGUUUUAAAGUCGUGUGGGCCUGAGCCUAGAGCGGACUAUAUCACUAGUGGGUUGGGCUAAGGGGGUCUCUCGGUCCUUCGUGGUUCGGGAUGCCCGUCGUGACAUAUAUCUCCACUUCCCUAAAGGGAAAAUAUCUUCUCAUGACUCAUCGGGUGCUUUAAUUUCUCUUUUUCGCUUAUGUACAGAUAAAGCUCCUUGUUCCAUUUCAGUGCAGGAUUCUAGUUCUAAUUGUAAAAUUUGAUAGGUGCUAGACAAGUUGACUUCAUCAAAGUGUUGAAACCCCUCGUUUAGGCCUCACUCACUAGAUGGUGGUGCAGAACCAUGAAUUAUUGACAUGGAUCAUAUGUAAUGACCGGCUUGCGAUGGUUUUCUAUUUUGUUUAACGGCAUAUUCAAGUCCGCUAAAAUGCCCGAGGCUUGGAGAUGGAGUACUAUGAUCCCGUUAUAUAAGAACAAGGGCGACAUUCAGAGUUGCAACAACUAAGGGGGAUAAAGUUAUUAAGCCACACUAUGAAGAUUUGGGAGAAAGUGGUCGAGUUGACGUUAAGGAGGUUAGUGACUAUCUCGGAGAACCAGUUUGGAUUUAUGCCUGGGCGCUCGACGACGGAGGCAAUUCAUCUGGUGCGGAGACUGGUAGAACAAUAUAGGGAAAGGAAGAAGGAUCUGCACAUGGUGUUUAUCGACUUGGAGAAGGCGUACGACAAAGUCCCUAGGGAGGUUCUUUGGAGAUGCUUGGAGGUGAGUGGGGUCCAGUGGCGUAUAUCAGAGCAAUCAAGGACAUGUAUGAUGGAGCUAAGACACAGGUUAGGAGGGCGGGAGGAGAUUCGGAGCAUUUCCCUGUCAUCUACUCUUAGCCCGUUUUUGUUUGCUUUGGUGUUGGAUGUGUUGAUGCAGCUUAUUCAAGAAGAGGUGCCUUAGUGUAUGCUUUUUGCAGACGAUGUAGUUUUGAUUGAUGAGACGCGGGGGGUUGUGACUGAUAAACUAGAGGUGUGGCAACAGACCCUUGAGUCUAAAGGGUUUAGGUUGAGUAGGACCAAGACAGAGUACUUGGACUGCAAGUUAGACUUGCGGCAGGAGGACGACGUGGUAGUAAGGUUGGAUUCCCAGGCGGUGUGCAAGAGGGGUAGUUUCAAGCAUCUCGGGUCCAUGAUUUAGGGAAAUGGUGAGAUUGACGAGGAUGUCUUCCACCGUAUUGGGGCGGGAUGGAUGAAGUGGAAGUUCGCCUCAGGGGUAUUGUGUGAUAGGAAGGUGCCGCCCAAGCUUAAAGGCAAAUUCUGCAGGGUGACAGUUCGUCCGGCCAUGUUGUAUGGAGCGGAGUGUUGGCCAGUCAAAAACUCACAUCCAAAAAUUGAAGGUGGCAGAAAUGCGGAUGUUGCGUUGGAUGUGUGGGCUUACUAGGGGUGAUAGAGUUCGGAAUGAGAUCAUUCGGGAAAAAGUUGGAGUGGCUUCGGUGGAGGACAAGAUUCGGGAAGUUCGAUUGAGAUGGUUCGGGCACGUGAUGAGGAGGGGCACGGAUGCCCCGGUUCGUAUGUGUGAGCGGCUAGCAUUGGAUGGAUUCAGGCGGGGUAGGGGUAGGCCGAAGAAAUACUGGAAAGAGGUGAUUAGGUAGGACAUGGAGCAGUUGCAGCUUACUGAGGACAUGACCCUAGAUAGGAAGAUCUGGAGGACGCGAAUCAGGAUAGAAGGUUAGGGAUAGUUUGGGUCGUUGGGGUAGGGCAAUACUGGGUGGGUGUACUUUUCUUGUUAUGCCACAUUGUUGCAUGCCUUAUUACGUAUUUGUUUACUAUUCUUUGUUUAUUAUCCUUUGUGGGUGGAUUAGUUAUGUCUUUUCAUCUUUUCCCAUGCUUUAUUUUGGAUUUAAUUAGUAUCUCGUGUCGUGAGCUGGGGGUCUAUCGGAAAUAGCCUCUCUACCUCAUCGGAAGUAGUGUUAUGGACUGCGUACAUCUUACCCUCCCCAGACCCCAUUAUGUGGGAAUACACUGGGUUUGUUGUUGUUGUUGUUGUUGAUCAUAUGUAAUGAAACCUUAUCAUGAAACUGAAAGGAGAAAAUCUUUUAACAGCCGAAAAUGAUGUUGACCGUUGCAAGCUAAAACAACAAAGUGAAGGCUGAAUAAGUUGUUGAUGGAGAAGGAAUCUUAACACUGUUAUCCAAGAGAUUUGUUAUUAAAAAAUCUGUUAUCCAAGAGAUUACUUUUGAGGUUCUCUAUUCAUCCAGAAGAUUUAAGAUUCUAUGUUCCCUUCAAAUCUCUGUGCUGGUAUUGUGGUAGUCACAAUUCACAAACAUUUUGGUUUAGAAAAUUUUUCAACAGCUUCUCCAAAAACCAAAAGCAAAGCCAAGAGGUUUAGAAAAUAGAUUUUGCUUUUCCGAAAGUCGCAAUUUCAGGUUUUCACAAUAACACAAAUCUUCUCCAAAGACGUUUUCAAAUAACUACUCCAGAUUUAAAUUUCCCGAAAUUGUCCAAUAGAGUUUUAAGAAACUAAACCUAAACCAAAUCCAAACACUGGUUGUGUUCUCUUGGCACUAUCAACUAUGUAUUUUAUAUGCAAAAGGUCAUGAUUUUAGCCUUAUGCAUCAAUAUAUGGAUGGAAUCCUUGUUAUAUUUGCUCAGGUUUCCUUUACUUGAUCAAAAAACUAUAUACAUAUAUUUUCUCUGACUGCAUGUAGCAUGAGG
rnacentral:lncRNA from 1 species